UACGGGAGGCAGCAGUGGGGAAUAUUGCACAAUGGGCGAAAGCCUGAUGCAGCUAUGCCGCGUGUAUGAAGAAGGCCUUAGGGUUGUAAAGUACUUUUCAUCGGGGAGGAAAAAACAAAACUAAUAAUUUUAUUUCUUGACGUUACCCGAAAAAGAAGCACCGGCUAACUCCGUGCCAGCAGCCGCGGUAAUACGGAGGGUGCUAGCGUUAAUCAGAAUUACUGGGCGUAAAGAGCACGUAGGUGGUUUUUUUAAAGUCAGAUGUGAAAUCCCUGGGCUUAACCUAGGAACUGCAUUUUGAAACUGAAAUACUAGAGUAUCGUAGAGGGAGGUAGAAUUCUAGGUGUAGCGGUGAAAUGCGUAGAUAUCUGGAGGAAUACCUGUGGCGAAAGCGGCCUCCUAAACGAAUACUGACACUGAGGGUGCGAAAGCGUGGGGAGCAAACAGGGAUUAGAUACC
rnacentral:rRNA from 1 species